rnacentral:rRNA from 1 species
AACGAACGCUGGCGGCGCGCCUAAUACAUGCAAGUCGAGCGAGAAGACGUAGCAAUACGUUUGUAAAGCGGCGAACGGGUGAGGAAUACAUGGGUAACCUACCCUCGAGUGGGGAAUAACUAGCCGAAAGGUUAGCUAAUACCGCGUACGCUCCUUGGACUUCGGUUCAGGGAGGAAAGCGAUACCGUGGGUAUCGCGCUCUUGGAUGGGCUCAUGUCCUAUCAGCUUGUUGGUGAGGUAACGGCUCACCAAGGCUUCGACGGGUAGCUGGUCUGAGAGGACGAUCAGCCACACUGGCACUGCGACACGGGCCAGACUCCUACGGGAGGCAGCAGUAAGGAAUAUUGCGCAAUGGGCGAAAGCCUGACGCAGCGACGCCGCGUGGGGGAUGAAGGUCUUCGGAUUGUAAACCCCUUUCGGGAGGGAAGAUGGAACGAGCAAUCGUUCGGACGGUACCUCCAG